rnacentral:lncRNA from 1 species
AUGAUGGCUUAGAUCCUGUACACAUAUGCUGAAAACUGGAGGGCCUUCAAAGCCCUCAUCACUGCUCAAUACAGCAGGGCUCAGGUCUGCAUGCUCUCUGCACCAUCCCCACUUCCACUUUGGCCAAACCAAUCACAAACCUAAAUUUCUUUUCAAAUUUCCUGCUGGCAAGAUUCCAGCAUUUGAUGGUGACAGUGGAGCCUGUGUGUUUAAGAGUAAUGUCAUUACCUACUGUGUGAGCAAUGAGGAGCUGCAGGAAAGUACUCCAGAAGCAGAAGCCCAGGUGGUGCAGUGGAUAGGCUUUGCUGAUAACAACAUAGUGCCCUUAGCCAGUACUUGGUUGUUCCCUACCUUGGGCAUCGUGCACCACAACAAAUAGGCCACUAAGAAUGCAAAAGAGGACAUGAGGUGAAUUCUGGAGCUGCUGGAUGCUCACUUGAAGAUGAGGACUUUUCUGGUGGGUGAAUGAGUAACUGGCUGACAUCACAGUUGUCUGCACCUUGUUAUGGCUCUAUAAGCAGGUGCUGGAGCCUUCUUUCCACCAAGCCUUUCUCAGUAUCAACCCUUGGCUCCUCAUCUGCAUUAACCAGACCCAGUUGCGGGCUGUCUUGGAAUAAGUGAAACUGUGUGAGAAGAUGGCCCAGUUUGAUGCUAAAAAUUCUACAGAGAGCCCGACUAAAAACGACACCCAUGGAAAGGGAAAGGUUCGUUAAAAGAGAAGCAGACGCCUCAGGCUGAACAGAAAGAGGAAAAAGUGUGGCUUCCCUUGCUUCUGAGGAGGAGAUGGAUGAAUGUGAGCAGGCACCGGCUGCUGAGCCCAAGGCCAAGGGCCUCUUUGCUCAGCUGCCCAAGGGUACUUUUGUGUUGGGUGAAUUUACACCCAAGUGCUCCAGUGAGGACACACUGUGUCACUGCCAUAUUUUUGGAAGCACUCUGUUAAGGAUGGCUGGUCCCUAUGGUUCUCUGAGUAUCACUUCCCUGAAGAGCUCACUCAGACCUUCAUGAGCUGCAACCUCAUCACUGAAAUGUUCCAGUGACUAGACAAGCUGAGGAAGAACACCUUUGCCGUGUCAUCCUCUUUGGAACCAACAAUAGUAGCUCCAUUUCUGGAAUCUGGGUCUUCAGAGGCCAGGAGCUUGCCUUUCCCCUGAGUCCAGAUUGGCAGGUGGACUACAAGUCAUACACGUAGCAGAAACUGGAUCCUGGCAGUGAUGAGACCCAGAUGCAGGUUCAAGAGUACUUUUCCUGGGAUAGAGCCUUCCAGCAUGUGGGCAAAGCCUUCAAUCAGGGCAAAAUCGUCAAGUGAA